GACGAUCAUUAAGAGGGCUAAAGAGACUAAAGAUCUCUCUUUUUAGCUUGUCGGUAUUCAGAUCUUCUCAUUUUCCGACCGUCGUUAUCACGCAGUUACAAUUGAAGCAAAAAGUAAGGAUUGUGACUUUUUGCAAUCAAUAUAUGAUGCGAGCAAGGGCUCCUACAAGAGACAAAUUUAUUAUGCUCAUUCAAGCCUCACCAUUUCUGCAACCCAUGUGGUUGACAAAUGCUUCAGUUUGUUUUGUAAAUAUAUGUUUCCUUCUUCAGCUUGUUCAGUCUGUUAUGAACUAAAUUAUGGCUGUUUGGUAUGUUUGUAAAUAGAUGAUGGUUUGUAAUUUUCCAUCUACUUUUUUUGUUGGAGCCAAACUGAGAAAAGUAGAGUGGAAAUCAUAUCCAACAAAUUUUUUUGGUUGAAACAAACAAAAUAAACAUUUUCCAAGAAAAAUAUGAAAA